GCAAACCGCUUUGCCUGUUUUAUGAUUGCUUCUGAAACAAUCGAUCUUUUUUUGGAUUGGGACUUUGUUUACGAAAUCAACAACAGUCCUGAAAAAGUAGACGAAAGUUCAAAACAAUUAAUAUUAGCGUUUGCCGUUUGGGGAACUAUAUUAUAUUUUCUAACCUUUCUAAGCCUUUGUUGUGAUCUCUGUAACGAUGAAGACGAAGAAAAUCCCUGCUCACCGUGUCUUUCGUUGCUGUCAACCGUCACCGAGGAUUUCCCUCAGAUCAUCCUUGCUAUUGCCGUGGCUGGUCACACUACGAAUUUGAUAUCGUGGGUUCAAAUAGCAAAAGCGGUUUAUGGAUUCAUGGAGUCUUUGGUACGAGUGGACAAACUUAUCAAUGAAAGAGAAAAGAGCAAGAAAACGUUCAGCACCGCAUCUCAUGACUAUGAAUGCCAGAAAUCCGCUGAUAUGUUUUUCUGUAGUGUAUUGUGUUUGUGCUCCUUAGCUCUUUUUAUAAUGUUAUUAUGGCCUAAUUAAUGAAACGACACAAUUAUGUCGGUUAUAAUUUGUAAAUAUUUGAUUUUAGUAUGUGGAAUCGUUAAUAUCUGCUUUUUAUGUUUCGCCUUUUGGUUUAUUUUAAUAUACAAUACUCGUACUUCCUGCUUUCAAUUGUGAUAUUUGUUAGAUAUAUAUGGUGUAGAAUAAAUAUGUCGUACUGUACCAUUAAACAACACGAUUUACUGAUUUAUAACCGACUGUUUUUUCUUCUUAAAUUGUAUCUUUGCAUUUGUUUUGCAAUUAUUUUCUGAAUGAAAAUAUAAAAGCUACCUGUUCCAUAAAUAAGUCAUGUGAGAAUUUUUCAUAUGUAUGUAGGCCUAUGUGUUUGUUUUUUGUUGUGUUGUGGGGGAUAUCAAUUACCCAGGUUGAUGUUUAAAAAUAAAGAUUAUUAAUACU
rnacentral:misc_RNA from 1 species